rnacentral:sRNA from 1 species
UGAAAUUUUUCAUUUCACACUUGGAUUGUCUUUGGAAUUUCGUCUUUGUGCAUUAUUCGCAGUAAAAUAUAUUUUACAUAAAGGACUUCAAGACAUCUAUUUAGAUAAAUAUUAAAAUAAUAACAAAGAUUGUCGAAAAUUCCUCUUAAUCCAUUAUUGAAAUAAAUUAGUUUAUUUGUAAAUCUACGAAAUAUCCGAGAACCAAUCAACAAUCCCCAUACGUACUACACACAUACCUUCAUAGAUUAUAUUUGCUGAAAUUCCGAUUUUAUUUUUCGUAAUAGUCGAGUCCACGGAGAAAGUGUUAAGAUUUACCAAACAGUUCUGACUAAUUUUCUUGUGUAUUUUUAAAAGAAAACCAGUCCUUUUUUCUAAGUGUUAUUGUGUUUCUGUUUA